rnacentral:rRNA from 1 species
GACGAACGCUGGCGGCGUGCUUAACACAUGCAAGUCGAACGGAAAGGCCCUGCUUUUGUGGGGUGCUCGAGUGGCGAACGGGUGAGUAACACGUGAGUAACCUGCCCUUGACUUUGGGAUAACUUCAGGAAACUGGGGCUAAUACCGGAUAGGAGCUCCUGCUGCAUGGUGGGGGUUGGAAAGUUUCGGCGGUUGGGGAUGGACUCGCGGCUUAUCAGCUUGUUGGUGGGGUAGUGGCUUACCAAGGCUUUGACGGGUAGCCGGCCUGAGAGGGUGACCGGCCACAUUGGGACUGAGAUACGGCCCAGACUCCUACGGGAGGCAGAAGUGGGGAAUAUUGCACAAUGGGCGGAAGCCUGAUGCAGAAACGCCGCGUGCGGGAUGACGGCCUUCGGGUUGUAAACCGCUUUCGCCUGUGACGAAGCGUGAGUGACGGUAAUGGGUAAAGAAGCACCGGCUAACUACGUG